UGGGGAAUUUUGGACAAUGGGCGAAAGCCUGAUCCAGCAAUGCCGCGUGUGUGAAGAAGGCCUUCGGGUUGUAAAGCACUUUUGUCCGGAAAGAAAUCCUUGGCUCUAAUACAGUCGGGGGAUGACGGUACCGGAAGAAUAAGCACCGGCUAACUACGUGCCAGCAGCCGCGGUAAUACGUAGGGUGCAAGCGUUAAUCGGAAUUACUGGGCGUAAAGCGUGCGCAGGCGGUUUGCUAAGACCGAUGUGAAAUCCCCGGGCUCAACCUGGGAACUGCAUUGGUGACUGGCAGGCUAGAGUAUGGCAGAGGGGGGUAGAAUUCCACGUGUAGCAGUGAAAUGCGUAGAGAUGUGGAGGAAUACCGAUGGCGAAGGCGAGCCCCCUGGGCCAAUACUGGACGCUCAUGCACGAAAGCGUGGGGGAGCAAAACAGGAUUAGAUACCCUGGUAGUCCACGCCCUAAAACGAUGUCAACUAGUUGUUGGGGGAUUCAUUUCCUUAGUAACGUAGCUAACGCGUGAAGUUGACCGCCUGGGGAGUACGGUCGCAAGAUUAAAACUCAAAGGAAUUGACGGGGUCAUAGCUG
rnacentral:rRNA from 1 species